AUUCUUUUAGUAUCAAUUAGUACAAUUGACUUCCAAUCAAUUAGUCUUGGAGAAAUCCAAGGAAGAAUA
rnacentral:tRNA from 1 species